rnacentral:rRNA from 1 species
GACGAACGCUGGCGGCGUGCUUAACACAUGCAAGUCGAACGGAAAGGCCCUGCUUUUGUGGGGUGCUCGAGUGGCGAACGGGUGAGUAACACGUGAGUAACCUGCCCUUGACUUUGGGAUAACUUCAGGAAACUGGGGCUAAUACCCGAUAGGAGCUCCUGCUGCAUGGUGGGGGUUGGAAAGUUUCGGCGGUUGGGGAUGGACUCGCGGCUUAUCAGCUUGUUGGUGGGGUAGUGGCUUACCAAGGCUUUGACGGGUAGCCGGCCUGAGAGGGUGACCGGCCACAUUGGGACUGAGAGACGGCCCAGACUCCUAAGGGAGGCAGCAGUGGGGAAUAUUGCACAAUGGGCGGAAGCCUGAUGCAGCAACGCCGCGUGCGGGAUGACGGCCUUCGGGUUGUAAACCGCUUUCGCCUGUGACGAAGCGUGAGUGACGGUAAUGGGUAAAGAAGCACCGGCUAACUACGUG